GCAUAUCAAUAAGCGGAGGAAAAGAAACCAAACAGGGGAUUGCCCCAGUAACGGCGAGUGAAGCGGCAACAGCUCAAAUUUGAAAUCUGGUCCCCAGGGCCCGAGUUUGUAAUUUGUAGAGGACGCUUUUGGCGAGGCGCCUUCCGAGUUCCCUGGAACGGGACGCCACAGAGGGUGAGAGCCCCGUCUGGUCGGAUGCCAAGCCUAUGUAAAGCUCCUUCGACGAGUCGAGUAGUUUGGGAAUGCUGCUCAAAAUGGGAGGUAUAUGUCUUCUAAAGCUAAAUACCGGCCAGAGACCGAUAGCGCACAAGUAGAGUGAUCGAAAGAUGAAAAGCACUUUGAAAAGAGGGUUAAAAAGUACGUGAAAUUGUUGAAAGGGAAGCGCCUAUGACCAGACUUGGGCCCGGUGAAUCAUCCAGCGUUCUCGCUGGUGCACUUUGCCGGGCACAGGCCAGCAUCAGUUUGGCGCGGGGGAUAAAGGCUUCGGGAAUGUGGCUCCCCUCGGGGAGUGUUAUAGCCCGUUGUGUAAUACCCUGCGCCGGACUGAGGUACGCGCUCCGCAAGGAUGCUGGCGUAAUGGUCAUCAGCGACCCGUCUUGAAACACGGACCAAGGAGUCGUCUUCGUAUGCGAGUGUUCGGGUGUAAAACCCCUACGCGUAAUGAAAGUGAACGCAGGUGAGAGCUUCGGCGCAUCACCGACCGAUCCUGAUGUUCUCGGAUGGAUUUGAGUAAGAGCAUACGGGGCCGGACCCGAAAGAAGGUGAACUAUGCCUGUAUAGGGUGAAGCCAGAGGAAACUCUGGUGGAGGCUCGCAGCGGUUCUGACGUGCAAAUCGAUCGUCAAAUAUGGGCAUGGGGGGCGAAAGACUAAUCGAACCUUCUAGUAGCUGGGUUUCCCGCCG
rnacentral:rRNA from 1 species